GGCCGCUUAGCUCAGCUGGUUAGAGCAUCGUACUAAUACCCAGCCUUUGGUUACUAGUCCAUGCGGAGGUCGGCAGUUCGAUCCUGUCAGUGGUCA